GGCCCAGCUGUCUCCUCUGGAUCUCUGGUGACCCAGCAUAGCCAUGGUGGACCUGCCAGGUGACAACCAUGAGGCACAGCAGGAGAUGAAGGCUAAGGAAGGGAAGCUGCCAGAGGAGUCAAGCUGCUGGAGGAAUGGCAGAAGAAAAGAGGCCAGAGAAGCAGAUGACUCCACUGCCACAUGGACUGCAAACAUGGAAGAAUGUCAUGACUGGGCCAGCAAGUUUGUCACUGGCCAUGGCACAGAAACCAUCUUUAACAGCCAGGGACGCUGCCCUGAAGCCCAGGACUACUAAGCCACAAGUGGCCCUUCCAGGUGAUGGAUGUCAAGCCUCACAUGCCGGAGAGAAGGGCAUGAACUGAGGCACAGGACCAGGGCCAGCCAGCAAAACCAGAAGGAAAGAUCAGUAUUCUGCAGGAAGCUCACCAUAUAAAAUAAAGUGGAGGUAAGGCAAUUAACAGGAAGCUCUCUGGACUUCUGUUGCGCCUGUGCUGUGGAGAACAAGCGAGGCUUUUUGUUCUCAUCUCAGG